CCCCUUCCUUUCCCUAUCCGUCCCCUUCCUUUCCCUAUCCGUCCCCUUCCUUUCCAUAUCCGUCCUCAACCUUUCCCUAUCCGUCCCCUUCCUUUCCCUAUCCGUCCUCUUCCUUUCCCUAUCCGUCCUCUUCCUUUCCUUACUCUUCAUACUCUUGCCUGCACAUGUCGUUUUCCCCCCGUUAACGUUACGACAACGGAAAUGUUUGUAAAGACAUGUCAAACACACCCCGUAAUGGAUGAAAUGGGCUCAAUGGGAUACAUUGGCUGUUUGUUGAAUCGAGAAGAACACUAAAGCUUUUUCUGGAAUUGAACGUAUCGUCUCGACACUUACAUCAGAAGAAAGAGGAUAACUUUAUUUUAAUAGGUGUACAUUUUUUUUGUGGCAUUGAAAAAAGUUAUAAUUUAAUACAGUUUAAUGUUUACAAAUUAGAUGAAAUGAAAGCAAUUUCCGAAAAUGAACUCGGAUUAUAGUGAUUGUCUGAUCUCUCAAACAAUGUAAAGUAUGUUUAGAUAGGUGUAAUUGUGUUGAUACCCUUUUAUCCAAGGGUAUCCUGCUAUUUUGACACACUUGUUUAAUUAUGCAAGAGAAUGUGACAACAACCGUUUUUAAUGAGACAGUCUAGACAGAGCAGGUGAGUGCAGGUAGGGUAGACAGAGCAGGUAGGGUAGACAGAGCAGGUGAGUGCAGGUAGGGUCGACAGAGCAGGUAGGGUCGACAGAGCAGUUAGGGUCGACAGAGCAGGUGAGAGCAGGUAGGGUAGACAGAGCAGGUAGGGUAGACAGAGC